ensembl:lncRNA
CCAGAGGGUACAAAACGUCACUGCAUUGCUGCAGUGCUGCCACUGUUCCUUCUGCAAUGCUGACAUUUUGAAUGAAUGGCUGUGCAGCAUUGCCCAUUGCAGACUGCUGGAAGGCUCCAGGAGGGACUCGGCUCCCACUGUGUGAUGGCUGUGUGAGUGGCAUACUUUGCUGAAGUGCGUCCAGAUCCUUUUUUGGGAAGCUGGGAGGCGUCUCCUUGCUGUGAGGACCAUAUCUGGCAACUGAACAGGGAUUACCUGAGCAGAGGAGCUAGUAACUACUAUAACUGGCAGAGUGAUGGCAAAAAUCCUGGUGCAGGGAACAAAUGGACGCUGCUGAAAAGAGAAAGAAAAAAAGAUGGAGAAGAAGAAAAGAAAUGAUGCUGGGAGCUGGCAAAAGCUUUUCACUCUGAGUUCUGGAGCAGGAGAAACGCUUGCUGGGAAAAAAAGACUGCAACUGGAGGUACGCUGCAGCUCUCCUUUUUUGCUGCUGGAAAGAAGUUAAUAAAUGCAGUCACAAUACAAGCCCCCUUUUGGAGCAUACGACUCUUUGCAAGAAGGAGAGCAGAGAGUACGUGGCUACUCCUCUGCAGCUGUGUUUCCAAGUCAGCUGGUGCUUAUUUUCUAAUUGGGAACCACAACAGCAUAUGGGCUCACCUUUGGAGCUCUUCUUUUUGCUCCUCAUGUCCAUUGUAAUCAUUGACUCCAGAUGGGCGUUGACGUUCCUAAUACCAUCCUUACAUGGACAGGACUUUCAUAUGUCCUUCCCGAGACUAAGAAACAAAGAAAAAUAAGAAACAAGGGGAAUUCACCAGGGAAUCUGGAAAAAAUGGG